GCCAGGCACAGACAGGCAAGACUUCACAAGUGUGUAAAUUCCCUCCGAAGAGACAAAAGCAAGAAGAGGACAAAAAGUCUUGGACGGUGGCAGGAUAUGAACAUAUUAAAUAAGGAAUGUGAAGCUCUUGGACCAGGUGGCCGAGCCACCAGUGAGCAGCCACAUGGCUAAGAUCAAGGAGGCAAGGAGGAGGGUGGAGCUGUCCCAGCUUCCAGUUGCCAAGGUGACAGUCAAUGCUGCAUCCCGGCUCUCCAAGUCAUGCACAUCCAACCACUGGUGUCCUUACGGUCCUUAGCCAGAUUCAAAAGGAAAACCUCAGGAAAUUCUACUAGGGCAAGAAGUACAAGCCUCUGGACCCAAGAAGACUACCAUGAGCCUCCUGCUCCCCAAGCACGAAGAGAAGGUCAAGACCUGAGGUGGCCACAACAGCAGAGCACAAGACUGGCUGAGAAGACAAAAACAGAGAGUUUGACUACAUCAAAGAGUGGGUGGAGAGAGAAACACGAAAAGAGCUAGGAAAAAUCGGUCUCGGUGCACACACUGUGAUACCCUGCCCAUCUGCCUCCUGCAAACACUUCCACGCAGAUCCCCUCUUUGCCACUGGGACAGCUAAUCAUCGUUGUCAACCUGACUGGAUUUGGAAUCACUCAGCAAAUACAGCUGUGGGACUACACUUCUGAAAGGCUGCUAG
rnacentral:lncRNA from 1 species